UACGAAGGGGGCUAGCGUUGCUCGGAAUCACUGGGCGUAAAGCGCACGUAGGCGGAUUGCUAAGUCAGGGGUGAAAUCCUGGAGCUCAACUCCAGAACUGCCUUUGAUACUGGCGACCUUGAGUCCGGGAGAGGUGAGUGGAACUGCGAGUGUAGAGGUGAAAUUCGUAGAUAUUCGCAAGAACACCCGUGGCGAAGGCGGCUCACUGGCCCGGUACUGGCGCUGAGGUGCGAAAGCGUGGGGAGCAAACAGG
rnacentral:rRNA from 1 species